CUUCAGGUGGAGACCCAAACGCAUGAUUUGUGUAACUGUGUAUUUAGAUGCUGUAUGUGUGAUGAUGUUCAUGCAAAGUUUAAAUGAGAUUGGGCCACCUGUUGGGGAGUAGAGAGGGUACACACAGACUUAAACAAAUACAUAUGCAACAAGAAUAUUAUUUUUAUUAUUAAUAUUUUAUAUUGUAUUUUUAUUAGUACAUUUUCAAAACUUUAAAUUCCAGUUGAGAAAUAUUAAAAGCAGACAUUUUAAUCAUUUCUCGGCUUGACGUCGCUCUUCAGCAUAUCCAUGAACAGCAUGAACACACUGCUCUAAAUGUUUCUGUCCAAUCAGGCACUAAAACUAUCCAGUCAUGAAGCUUCAGGAACAAACAAAUCAAACCAGUUAGAUACGGCCUGAGUGAAUCUGGGCUCAGUCUGUCUUGAGUUUCUGUGCAGGGUAACCAAUCAGAUGUUAGGUAUCAUCUGAUGAUGCGCAAUAAAAAUGAUUAUUGAUUAAUUAUCUUAUGAUGCAGAUACAGGCACCAUAAAAUAAUUAUCUUAAAUGAAAUUAAUUAUGCAUUUAAUACAUUUAUUUUCAUUAAUUAAUAUUGUGUAUUUAUUGACACUUUUGAUGAACUAAUUGUGCACGCAGUUAUUUCAUUCUGGCACUCUCGGCGCUCCAUACCUCUCUGCCUCCAUCCCUGCACUGCAGUGUUUUUCCAGCAGAUGUCGGCAGCAGAAAGCCCAGUUAGUGCUUCUGUGCUGGUGUUUGUCUCCACCGGGACAGCUGUUGUCGGAGGUUCUGUUUCUUUAAGGCCGGUUCGUUUACAGCUCACACACGGCUGACGAUCGGCGCCUGCUCAGUGCGUCUUCUCCGCUGCUUGGAUCGCGGACCUGGAGGGUUUCUGCCCCGUCCGUGUGCUCCUGUGUGCGCGUAUGUGUGUGCUGUGUCUGAUGGUAACCCAUGGAUUGACGGAGGGGGAGGCUAUUGUUACCAGCCCGGUGGCUUGUUCUGCUGCAGCUGCACUUUCAGCAGAGAAUGCCCAAAGCAAACGGAGCGGUAACUGCACGGAUAGCGCAGGAAUACACCAGAGAAUCAAGUGUGUCCGGAUCAUCACUCCAGGCCUGUCACUGGUGUAGAGCCAAACAGAGGAUGCAGAUUAAGCUGGAUUAAUACCUCUGCUUCUUUGUUUGAUGAUGAAGCAUCAGUCAGAAUCCAGCUUCAGCUGGGUGAGGUUCAUUUUUUAAAAGUGGCUCAGAUAGAUUAUGCUAGGCCAUACUGGUAAUUGUACUACAUUGCAUUUUGUGCAUUGUCAUUACAAAGCAGGUUAACAUUGCUAAUUGAGCAGUGAAGUAAAGUGAGGCUUCAGCUGGUCUCCCAGGACCCAUGCUUCUUGUUGCACCUUGCCUUGUGGCAAAUACCAAACCAAACCAUGCAGUUCCUUCGCAAUUUACGAUGUAGAUUAUGAUGUCACUUAAAUUGUAAUUUAUGACCUUUCACAUAACCUGACAUGCACCUCCAGAGAACUAGACAUAAGAAAGCCAGUUGGAUGCACAAAAGGUGUCAGCUGACAGGUCAUGUGGGCUGGGACUGAAAUAAACUAAUGUUAGUACUUUAUCUCAAACCAGUGAUUUAUGGCCCCUGUCGAAUGAUUUAGGAAGUAAUAAAAGUUAAUGGCAGUCAUAAAACUAUCAUAAAAUUAUGAUAUUUCAUAACUCGGUAAUAAUCAAUUAUCAGAUGCCCAAAAAUAUAUGAUCAUGAAAAUAUGGUGAUGGACGAGGAUGAUGAAGAGGUGGUUUGAGAUAGAAAUGAAAACUAUGGAAUAAUUCAUAUUUUUGUGCUAAUGUGAUUUCAAACCAAAAAGUUUACUUUUUAGACAAAAUGUCACCUUGGCAGGAGCCUGUGUGUGUGUGUGUGUGUGUGUAUGUGUGUGUGUGUGUGUGUGUGUGUCUGGUGCUUUUGUAAGGAUGAGGGGAGUUGGAGGCUGCGUGCCCCGAUAGAAAGCUUUAUUACAUUUUGUUUGUGUUUGUUUAAUCCCAAAAAGGAAAAUCAGAAUCAAAGUUAAACUUACAAACGCUCCACAGACCCCGAGAGAGUCAGGUGUGACUUUGCACAUGGGUCAGUGUGGGUAAAAUUCUCUCUGACUCAAGGUGCGACCCCGAGAUGGAGCUCCUCCCCGAUCCACCAAUGAAACCAUUUAAAACAGAGGUGGCCCUAGCGAGAAAAACCUCUGAUCAGUACAGCAAUUUCAGAAAGGCAGGCUCUCGCUUCAGCCACUAAGAGACCGGGGGACAGUUUUGAUCUGACCAAUGAGCCGAAUUUACAGCCUUCUGACGAGUAAAGCGUGCAGUUUUUGAAACCAACCAAGACAGCUUUGCAGAUGCUGCAGAAAUACACAAGUCCUUACCAGCUGCCCCGCAUGAAUAAAGUUUUCCAUCGCUGCGCGCAGCCUCCAAAGUAUAAAUUAUUAUUCCAUAGUUUGGAAUAAUAAAACCACCUCUUCAUCAUCCUCGUCCAUCACCAUAUUUUCAUGAUCAUAUAUUUUUGGGCAUCUGA
ensembl:lncRNA